AGAGUCAGGCGCCUCUGGAAGGGAUGGUUUGGCCUACAGAGAGAAAACAGAGAGAAUGGGCAAGGGGUCAUCGAUGGACCGGAGAUGGGAUGGUAGGGACAGAAACUGCAGGGUCCGCAGAAGGAACUGCUCACCGAAAGCCAACAAGCUUGCCCUGUGGAAUCCCAGAAAGGCCCAGGAACUUCGGGACAUCACUGAAGGCAGAGUGAAGAGAGGAAGAGAAGACAGAGAAAUGGAGGGGAGAAAACUAUUAAAAUAAGUAAUAAGAAAACUUUCCCCAGAAGUGCAGAAUCUGAAUUUCCAGUAUAAAAGGGUCCAUUGAGCGCCAAGAACAAUGAAGGAAAAAAGGUCCCACUCAGGCCUACGUAUCAUUGUGAAAUUUCAGAACUAGAGGGAUAAAGAAAAGAUCCUAAAAGCUUCCCGAGAGAUAAAAAAGAAGAUUUUUACAAAGGAUCAGCAAUCAGAAUUGCCUCAGACUGCUCAAUAAAAACAUCAGAAGCUAGAAGAAAAUAGAAUGAGGCAUCAAAAUCCUGAGGGAAAUGAUUCCCACCUAUAAUUUCAUAUUCUGCUCAAUUAUCAAUUGAGUAUUGAAGGGAAAUAAA
rnacentral:lncRNA from 1 species